rnacentral:rRNA from 1 species
GACGUAGGGGACGAGCGUUGUCCGGAUUUAUUGGGCGUAAAGAGCUCGUAGGCGGUUGGGUAAGUCGGGUGUGAAAACUCCAGGCUCAACUUGGAGAUGCCACCCGAUACUGCUCUGACUUGAGUUCGGUAGGGGAGUGGGGAAUUCCUGGUGUAGCGGUGAAAUGCGCAGAUAUCAGGAGGAACACCGGUGGCGAAGGCGCCACUCUGGGCCGAAACUGACGCUGAGGAGCGAAAGCGUGGGUAGCAAACAGG